GACGAACGCUGGCGGCGUGCUUAACACAUGCAAGUCGAACGGAAAGGCCCUGCUUUUGUGGGGUGCUCGAGUGGCGAACGGGUGAGUAACACGUGAGUAACCUGCCCUUGACUUUGGGAUAACUUCAGGAAACUGGGGCUAAUACCGGAUAGGAGCUCCUGCUGCAUGGUGGGGGUUGGAAAGUUUCGGCGGUUGGGGAUGGACUCGCGGCUUAUCAGCUUGUUGGUGGGGUAGUGGCUUACCAAGGCUUUGACGGGUAGCCGGCCUGAGAGGGUGACCGGCCACAUUGGGACUGAGAUACGGCCCAGACUCCUACGGGAGGCAGCAGUGGGGAAUAUUGCACAAUGGGCGGAAGCCUGAUGCAGCAACGCCGCGUGCGGGAUGACGGCCUUCGGGUUGUAAACCGCUUUCGCCUGUGACGAAGCGUGAGUGACGGUAAUGGGUAAAGAAGCACCGGCUAACUACGUGCCAGCAGCCGCGGUGAUACGUAGGGUGCGAGCGUUGUCCGGAUUUAUUGGGCGUAAAGGGCUCGUAGGUGGUUGAUCGCGUCGGAAGUGUAAUCUUGGGGCUUAACCCUGAGCGUGCUUUCGAUACGGGUUGACUUGAGGAAGGUAGGGGAGAAUGGAAUUCCUGGUGGAGCGGUGGAAUGCGCAGAUAUCAGGAGGAACACCAGUGGCGAAGGCGGUUCUCUGGGCCUUUCCUGACGCUGAGGAGCGAAAGCGUGGGGAGCGAACAGGCUUAGAUACCCUGGUAGUCCACGCUGUAAACGGUGGGUACUAGGUGUGGGGUCCAUUCCACGGGUUCCGUGCCGUAGCUAACGCUUUAAGUACCCCGCCUGGGGAGUACGGCCGCAAGGCUAAAACUCAAAGGAAUCGACGGGGCCCCGCACAAGCGGCGGAGCAUGCGGAUUAAUUCGAUGCAACGCGUAGAACCUUACCUGGGUUUGACAUGGAUCGGGAGUGCUCAGAGAUGGGUGUGCCUCUUUUGGGGUCGGUUCACAGGUGGUGCAUGGCUGUCGUCAGCUCGUGUCGUGAGAUGUUGGGUUAAGUCCCGCAACGAGCGCAACCCUUGUUCACUGUUGCCAGCACGUUAUGGUGGGGACUCAGUGGAGACCGCCGGGGUCAACUCGGAGGAAGGUGGGGAUGACGUCAAGUCAUCAUGCCCCUUAUGUCCAGGGCUUCACGCAUGCUACAAUGGCUGGUACAGAGAGUGGCGAGCCUGUGAGGGUGAGCGAAUCUCGGAAAGCCGGUCUCAGUUCGGAUUGGGGUCUGCAACUCGACCUCAUGAAGUCGGAGUCGCUAGUAAUCGCAGAUCAGCAACGCUGCGGUGAAUACGUUCCCGGGGCU
rnacentral:rRNA from 1 species